CGUGAGGGACGACGGCCUUCGGGUUGUAAACCUCUUUUAGCAGGAAAGAAGCGAAAGUGACGGUACCUGCAGAAAAAGCGCCGGCUAACUACGUGCCAGCAGCCGCGGUAAUACGUAGGGCGCAAGCGUUAUCCGGAAUUAUUGGGCGUAAAGAGCUCGUAGGCGGUCUGUCGCGUCUGCUGUGAAAACCCGAGGCUCAACCUCGGGCCUGCAGUGGGUACGGGCAGACUAGAGUGCGGUAGGGGAGAUUGGAAUUCCUGGUGUAGCGGUGGAAUGCGCAGAUAUCAGGAGGAACACCGAUGGCGAAGGCAGAUCUCUGGGCCGUAACUGACGCUGAGGAGCGAAAGGGUGGGGAGCAAACAGGCUUAGAUACCCUGGUAGUCCACCCCGUAAACGUUGGGAACUAGUUGUGGGGUCCAUUCCACGGAUUCCGUGACGCAGCUAACGCAUUAAGUUCCCCGCCUGGGGAGUACGGCCGCAAGGCUAAAACUCAAAGGAAUUGACGGGGACCCGCACAAGCGGCGGAGCAUGCGGAUUAAUUCGAUGCAACGCGAAGAACCUUACCAAGGCUUGACAUAUACGAGAACGGGCCAGAAAUGGUCAACUCUUUGGACACUCGUAAACAGGUGGUGCAUGGUUGUCGUCAGCUCGUGUCGUGAGAUGUUGGGUUAAGUCCCGCAACGAGCGCAACCCUCGUUCU
rnacentral:rRNA from 1 species